rnacentral:rRNA from 1 species
AGUGAACGCUGGCGGUGUGCCUAAUACAUGCAAGUCGAGCGGAAGGACAAGGAGAGCGUUCUCUUGAGGGUAGCGGGGGACGGGCGGGUAACAAGUGGAUCACAAUCCUCUUAGUCUGGGGUGAUAACGGGGAACCGGUGAUACUACUGCCGCAUACAACGAACGGGAUGGAGCAAUAGAGAUUGACGGCUUUGGCGUUUCAUUUAGCCGGAUCCGCGUCGCAUUAGCUAGUUGGUAAGGUAACGGCCUACCAAGGCGACGAUGCGUAGCUGAUCUGAGAGGAUGAUCAGCCACACUGGAACUGAGACACGGUCCAGACUCCUACGGGAGGCAGCAGUGGGGAAUCUUGCGCAAUGGGCGAAAGCCUGACGGAGCAACACCGCGUGGGUGAUGAAGGCCUUCGGAUUGUAAAGCUCUUUUGUUGGGAAAGAACAAAUGUGUGUGUAACCAUGGACGUCUUGACGGUACCUAAAGAGAAAGCCACGGCUAACUUCGUG